rnacentral:rRNA from 1 species
AGAUGGCGACCGGCGCACGGGUGAGUAACACGUAUCCAACCUGCCGAUAACUCGGGGAUAGCCUUUCGAAAGAAAGAUUAAUACCCGAUGGUAUAAUUAGACCGCAUGGUCUUGUUUAUUAAAGAAUUUCGGUUAUCGAUGGGGAUGCGUUCCAUUAGGCAGUUGGUGAGGUAACGGCUCACCAAACCUUCGAUGGAUAGGGGUUCUGAGAGGAAGGUCCCCCACAUUGGAACUGAGACACGGUCCAA